AACUCUCUCUCCCGUGAUGCUCCGCGCUGACCGUCAGCUGUGAUUGGUCAGUAACGGAACCCGGAAGUGGCUGUCAGUACCCAGGCUGGAAUGGCUACAAGCAGUGACCGGGUGGCUGGGGCUGGGCUGGUGGCCUUCAGCUCCCUCCUGUUCGUCUAUUACACAGUCUGGGUCAUAUGCCUGCCAUUCAUUGACAGCGAUCAUGUGAUCCAUUCCUUUUUCUUACCGCGAGAAUACUCUGUGCUGCUACCAUUACUGGCUGCUCUGAUAGUGCUUCUGUUUAUUGGACUCUUUGUGACUAUCAUCAUGUGGAAAGGCCGGAGCCCGAAGAGUAAAUCACAAUGAGGACCUGAAUUUACACAAAUACUUCAACUAUGUGAUUGACUUUGGUGGCAGAGCAGCUCUGCAAAGAACCAGGGUAGAAUCUAUCUUUAUAUGACAUUCCUAACCAUCCGUAUGGCUGGGACAGCUGGACAUUUUAUACUCUUGUCUAAACAGUAGAAGAUUUAAUUGGCAACACUUUCCGAAAUGCACUGAAUAGAAAUGCAAUCUCCUGGUUUUAUUGAAACCUUGAAAUGAGGCUGCCUCCUAGUGGUGAAUAUUGCAGCAUACUGCAGCAUACUGUCUAAAAGGUGGACAUUAUUAAGGUUUUAAGUUACUCUUUACCAUAUCCUCACUUCUGUGUAAGACUGAUUUGACUCCACUAAUAUUUGUUUAGUUCAGUCUGUUGUUCUACCUGGACAGGUACAUACCCCUUAUAAAAAGAUUACAUUAUUACACCAAAGGUAGGCAGCGGUGUGCUUUCCCUGGGAGGAAAAAUGUCACAAUCCUGUCUAUAAUUUACAUUCGAAGCCUUGUGCUUUGAGCUGUAAUCGCGUGAUGAUGCCUAAGCUACCCUUCAGAACAGACAUUACACAAAUAAGCCUCUAGUCUGCCAUUUGUAUUUGUUGUUCUGGCUGGAAAAAGAAGGUAUGACUUGUAGGCCAAUGUUAUCUGGAUGUCCACAUAUGAAGACACAUUUCACUCAAGAUCCAUGACCCAGACCACUUUAUGUGUAGUAGAGAAUGAAUUUAGGAGUGCUAAUACGUUCUGUGCCAGGUAGUAAACAGCAAGCACUCUUAAAAUAUAUAUCACUGAAUUAUAAAUCCCAUCAUGCUCCUGUCUGUUACUUGAGUCUGUAAGUCUUUAUUGUGCUUUAUAACCAUAGACUGUUAAUUAGAAUGAUUUUAAUUCUUUAAGGAUAGAGGCAGUAGUCAAAGUUCUGAACCAAACAAAAACCUAGAAUUUUUGUUGUGUUUUUGUGAUGGUGUAAUUAAAGGGUUUCAUUUGAAUUGCAGCUAUAUAUAUUGAUUUUUGAAGGAUAUAAAAAGUUUUCUUUUAAUAUCUUUAUGUAUACCUCACAACAUUUAAAAGGACCCUCUAAGCAGCAAAACAACUUUAGCUUAAUUAAGCAAUACAUCGAGCCCCUGCAUUAUUACUGCUCAAUUCUCUGCCAUUUAGGAAAUUAAUCACACCAUCUUGCAGGUGACUUACAGAGCCUUCCUAAACACUUCCUGUAAAGAGAGAUCUAAUGUUUAACCCCUUAAGGACCAAACUUCUGGAAUAAAAGGGAAUCAUGACAUGUCACACAUAUCAU